rnacentral:rRNA from 1 species
UACGUAGGGUGCAAGCGUUAAUCGGAAUUACUGGGCGUAAAGCGUGCGCAGGCGGUUUGGCAAGAAAGAUGUGAAAUCCCAGAGCUUAACUUUGGAACUGCAUUUUUAACUGCCAAGCUAGAGCAUGUCAGAGGGGGGUAGAAUUCCACGUGUAGCAGUGAAAUGCGUAGAGAUGUGGAGGAAUACCGAUGGCGAAGGCAGCCCCCUGGGAUAAUACUGACGCUCAGGCACGAAAGCGUGGGGGAGCAAACAGG